AAAUAUGGCCUGACGAAGAAAAAAACGUUUCAAAAUUCGCCUAAUAUUUUUGUACGCAAUUAGUCUAACAAAUUUCGUUUGCUUGUGUUUCUACCGACUAUAUCGCAAUCCGUGCGCGCAACUCUCUUCGAUAAAUAAAUCAGAACGAAAAUUAAUUACGUAACAAGAAUCAUGGACGUAAAGGAGAUAAUGUCGUACAUCUCGAAAUUUCUUCCAUUGUGCAGUUCGGGCACUGUCGACCUAGUCUGGUCGGUUGUUAUUAUUUUCUUCGCCAUCGCGUUAUUCUUCAUCUUUUCAAGAAAUUAGGAAGGAUCUCUCUCUCUUUGACGAUCUCUCGCGCCGGAACACGACGAGAUGAUGUCGCGGAAUGCGAGGUUGCUCGAAGAGGAUUAUCAGGAUUGUCUUUUGCCCGGGAAAUGGAGCUUUGUUGUUCCUGCUUGUGUACAGCGGACUGAUUGGGAUUCUGAUUGCCCGAACAAUCGUUUGCGUCGCGCGUCGAGCUUAAUUCAGGAGUACGAAGAGAAGGAUUCGAGAGAUAACGAUGCUCACCAGAUGACACGAUGACGCAGCUGCACGAGAAGGAGGAGGACGAUCAGCAGUCCGCACGGCAGCAUCCUGCCAAUCGUCUUUCGUUAUCCGGACGGGAUUGCGUCAGUGAACGACGAAAGUGGCGGAGAACGUCAUCUCGCGGUGUCCUCGCAUCCUCUCGGCAUCUCCGUGACCGGCUCGCUGCCACCGUCGCCGUUCUGAAAUCACAAAUGUGAGAAGGGAAGAGAGACCCUUUCCAACUUUGACCUUGUUCCGCACUCUCUUGAGUUGUUCCCGCACGCACUAGAACACAAUCGACCUUGCAUAAUAAAUUCUAACUCCGGCACAAUCCUUAAAAAAAUGGAAUGAAGGAUUUAUCUUACCCUCACUUGUGUCAAUUCCAAACUUUAUGUGAACAAAUAUAGGUUCAAUUAAAUUUUCAAAGAAAAA